AGCGAACGCUGGCGGCAGGCUUAACACAUGCAAGUCGAACGGGCACUUCGGUGCUAGUGGCAGACGGGUGAGUAACGCGUGGGAACGUGCCUUUCGGUUCGGAAUAAUCCAGGGAAACUUGGACUAAUACCGGAUACGCCCUUCGGGGAAAGAUUUAUCGCCGAAAGAUCGGCCCGCGUCUGAUUAGCUAGUUGGUGAGGUAAAGGCUCACCAAGGCGACGAUCAGUAGCUGGUCUGAGAGGAUGAUCAGCCACACUGGGACUGAGACACGGCCCAGACUCCUACGGGAGGCAGCAGUGGGGAAUAUUGGACAAUGGGCGAAAGCCUGAUCCAGCCAUGCCGCGUGAGUGAUGAAGGCCUUAGGGUUGUAAAGCUCUUUUACCCGGGAUGAUAAUGACAGUACCGGGAGAAUAAGCCCCGGCUAACUCCGUGCCAGCA
rnacentral:rRNA from 1 species